rfam:Camelus ferus unplaced genomic scaffold scaffold320, whole genome shotgun sequence.
GAGGGUAUAACUCAGUGGUAGAGUAUGUGCCUAGCAUGCACAAGGUCCUGGGUUCAAUCUCUGGUACCUCCA